rnacentral:rRNA from 1 species
UACGUAGGGGGCAAGCGUUGUCCGGAAUCAUUGGGCGUAAAGAGCGUGUAGGCGGCUCGGUAAGUCCGCUGUGAAAGUCCAGGGCUCAACCCUGGAAUGCCGGUGGAAACUGUCGAGCUAGAGUCCGGAAGAGGCGAGUGGAAUUCCUGGUGUAGCGGUGAAAUGCGCAGAUAUCAGGAGGAACACCAAUGGCGAAGGCAGCUCGCUGGGACGUGACUGACGCUGAGGAGCGAAAGCGUGGGGAGCGAACAGG